rnacentral:lncRNA from 1 species
CCUAAAUGGUGGUUAUUACCAGGACAUUUCAAAGUGAAGCACAAAAGUCAUUCCUAAGACACCUGAGAUCAGGAAGGCUCUGACCAGGUGCAGGGAGUCCCCUAGGUCCAGUCAGCUUUGGGGACUAAAUUAGGUUUGGUGACUGGGAUUUCCAGCUGGUGGUGGCAACAAAAGGGAACUAGUGGCAUUAAGGAACCCCAGUGUGACCCACAGCAGAGGAGGGGCCACCAAGCCAAUGCCUCCUAGAGCACUGGGUCCAUGCCCAGGCAGCCAGGGUCCUGAGGUGGCCAUGGACUUCUUCUAGCUGCCGCUUGGCCCCUGGGGACAUUUACUUUACAGGGAACCAG